rnacentral:rRNA from 1 species
CCUACGGGUGGCAGCAGUGAGGAAUAUUGGUCAAUGGACGAGAGUCUGAACCAGCCAAGUAGCGUGAAGGAUGACUGCCCUAUGGGUUGUAAACUUCUUUUAUAUGGGAAUAAAACAGGGUAUGCAUACCCUCUUUUAUGUACCCUAUGAAUAAGGAACGGCUAAACUCGUGCCCGCAACCCGGGGAAUAACGAGGAUCCGAGCCUUUUCCGGAUUUAUUUGGUUUAAAGGGAUUGUUGGUGGAUUGUUAAGUCAGUUGGGAAAGUUUGUGGCUCAACCGUAAAAUUGCAGUUGAAACUGGCAGUCUUGAGUGCAGGAGAGGUAGGCGGAAGUCGUGGUGUAGCGGUGAAAUGCUUAGAUAUCACGCAGAACUCCGAUUGCGAAGGCAGCUCACUGGACUGCAACUGACACUGAUGCUCGAAAGUGUGGGUAUCAAACAGGAUUAGAUACCCGGGUAGUC